rnacentral:rRNA from 1 species
GACGAACGCUGGCGGCGUGCCUAAUACAUGCAAGUAGAACGCUGAAGAGAGGAGCUUACUCUUCUUGGAUGAGUUGCGAACGGGUGAGUAACGCGUAGGUAACCUGCCUUGUAGCGGGGGAUAACUAUUGGAAACGAUAGCUAAUACCGCAUAACAAUGGAUGACACAUGUCAUUUAUUUGAAAGGGGCAAUUGCUCCACUACAAGAUGGACCUGCGUUGUAUUAGCUAGUAGGUGAGGUAAUGGCUCACCUAGGCGACGAUACAUAGCCGACCUGAGAGGGUGAUCGGCCACACUGGGAAUGAGACACGGCCCAGACUCCUACGGGAGGCAGCAGUAGGGAAUCUUCGGCAAUGGGGGCAACCCUGACCGAGCAACGCCGCGUGAGUGAAGAAGGUUUUCGGAUCGUAAAGCUCUGUUGUAAGUCAAGAACGGGUGUGAGAGUGGAAAGUUCACACUGUGACGGUAGCUAACCAGAAAGGGACGGCUAACUACGUG